AUUGAACGCUGGCGGCAUGCUUUACACAUGCAAGUCGGACGGCAGCACAGAGAAGCUUGCUUCUUGGGUGGCGAGUGGCGAACGGGUGAGUAACAUAUCGGAACGUACCGAGCAGUGGGGGAUAACUAAUCGAAAGAUUAGCUAAUACCGCAUAUUUUCUGAGGAAGAAAGAAGGGGACCUUUGGGCCUUGCGCUGUUUGAGCGGCCGUGAUCUGAUUAGCUAGUUGGUGGGGUAAAGGCCUACCAAGGCGACGAUCAGUAGCGGGUCUGAGAGGAUGAGCCGCCACACUGGGACGGAAACACGGCCCAGACUCCUACGGGAGGCAGCAGUGGGGAAUGUUGGACAAGGGGCGCAAGCCUGAUCCAGCCAUGCCGCGUGGCUGAAGAAAGCCUUCGGGUUGUAAAGGACUUUUGUCAGGGAAGAAAAGGGCGGGGUUAAUACCCCUGUCUGAUGACGGUACCUGAAGAAUAAGCACCGGCUAACUACGUG
rnacentral:rRNA from 1 species